rnacentral:rRNA from 1 species
GAUGAACGCUAGCGGCAGGCCUAACACAUGCAAGUCGAGGGAGAGGUUACCUUCGGGUCACCAAAACCGGCGCACGGGUGCGUAACGCGUAUACAAUCUGCCUUUCACAUAGGGAUAGCCCGAAGAAAUUUGGAUUAAUACCUAAUGGUAUAUAAGAGCGGCAUCGUUUUUAUAUUAAAGCUACGGUGGUGAAAGAUGAGUAUGCGUUCUAUUAGCUAGUUGGAGAGGUAACGGCUCCCCAAGGCGACGAUAGAUAGGGGUUCUGAGAGGGAUGUCCCCCACACUGGUACUGAGAUACGGACCAGACUCCUACGGGAGGCAGCAGUGAGGAAUAUUGGACAAUGGUCGGAAGACUGAUCCAGCCAUGCCGCGUGCAGGAUGAAGGUCCUAUGGAUUGUAAACUGCUUUUGUAAGGGAAGAAUAAGGAGUACGUGUACUUUGAUGACGGUACCUUACGAAUAAGCAUCGGCUAACUCCGUG